AGUGGUUAAGCAUUUGGCCACUAACCGAAAGGUUGGUGGUUCGAAUCCACCAGCCACUC
rnacentral:tRNA from 1 species